rnacentral:rRNA from 1 species
UACAGAGGUCUCAAGCGUUGUUCGGAUUCAUUGGGCGUAAAGGGUGUGUAGGUGGCGCGCUAAGUCGGGUGUGAAAUUUCGGAGCUUAACUCCGAAACUGCAUUCGAUACUGGCGCGCUUGAAGACUGGAGAGGAGACUGGAAUUCAUGGUGUAGCAGUGAAAUGCGUAGAGAUCAUGAGGAAGACCAGUGGCGAAGGCGGGUCUCUGGACAGUUCCUGACACUGAGACACGAAGGCCAGGGGAGCAAACGGGG